CUGUUUUCAGUGAACCUUCAUCUAAAAGUAUUUGUGAAAACGAUGAGAUGUGAAUACCUGCUUAUCAUGAAACAUCUAAAGACGAAAGGCGGUGCGCUAAGAACAUUGAAAUGGAAAGCCAAGUUACACUGGACAAAGUGGAAGUGACGACUACUGGACCUUGAUGAAAGGGGACUUAAUGAAGUGUACACGUAAAGCAUUACUCAGGAUGGUGACUGACGGACUUGCCAUUAUUUCAGAGAAGUCAAAAUGUCCUCGUUCAGAGUGAAACUUGACUGCACACUACAUUUGGAUGAAUGUGUAACAGUGCUAUGAUCACCUUCAGUAAGACUAUCAGUUUGGGGAAAGUUAAUCCAUCAAGUGGAACGUUAUCUCAGAAGUUUCAAGGACAGGACUUCAUGCACAACAGGACUUGGUGUAUAGGGAAGGUUGAUUCUGAACAGUUUGUGUAGAUGUAUUCGUGAUGAGGCACCAGUAAUAUUAUUGGUUGAUAUAUAGUUGAAAUUAACACUGUGUAGCUCUUAUUAGUUGAAUUUUGCUUAAAUUCCAAACUUUUUCGUAGGUUGAGGCCAUUAAGUUCAUAUUGUGAUAUCACUUUUUGUAAGCAAGUCUAAUAGUUUUUCUGCCCAGAGAGAUGUUCAAGUCUCAACUGAUUUAAUUUCCUAUUUAAAUUUCACAGUUCGAUUUGUAUCUUUAAAAUCAACUCUUAGUUUACCUUUGUAAUUUGUAAUCUUAGGGCAUAUUAUAUU